CCAGCAGCCGCGGUAAUACGAACCGUGCGAACGUUGUUCGGAAUCACUGGGCGUAAAGGGUGUGUAGGCGGUUUCUUAAGUUUGGUGUGAAAUCUCCCGGCUCAACUGGGAGGGUGCGCCGAAUACCGAGGGACUCGAGUGCGGGAGAGGAGAGUGGAAUUCCUGGUGUAGCGGUGAAAUGCGUAGAUAUCAGGAGGAACACCGGUGGUGCAGACGGCUCUCUGGACCGCGACUGACGCUGAAACACGAAAGCGUGGGUAGCAAACAGGAUUAGAUACCCUGGUA
rnacentral:rRNA from 1 species